GACCCUCUCUCAAUUCAUGAAACCUCACAUUGAACGUGCUAAAAUAAUUUUCAUCUCUCCUCAUCAGACAUUCUCUCUCUCCAUUGUUUUCCCUCCCUCCCAAGUCCCCCGACUCUCUCAAUUGGACCCUCUCUUAAUUGAAACGUCCAUCGUCCCUCCCUCCGACAUCCCUCCUUCCCAAGUCCUCCCCUCUCUCAAGUCCGCCGCAGUUCAAUGGGUUGCAUGACAAGGCGUUGACCUCGCUAUUUCAAUGGGUUUUUUUUUUGAAUUACUCGAAUCAAUUCUAGGGUUUAAUCUAAUGGAACAAUCGAAGAGAGAGCAUUGGCCAAUCGAAGAAAUCGAAACAUGAAACCCUAGAUCCGAGAAGAAAAUCAAGAGCACAAAGAAUGAAACCUUAGAUUCGAAACGAAACUCAGACUAGUAAAAAGGACGAUAAAGAAAGCGAAAAGGAGAAGAAGAGACUCUGAAUUAGUUGAACCUAUUGUUCAUUUGAAGCUUAAAAAGCCUUAAUUAAUGGAUGAGAGGCGGAUGAAGAAGAUGAAGCGCAAAUCCCUAAUUGACUUUCGAAUUUUUGUUUUUUUACAGCCGUUGAAAUAUAUUUUCAUUUUUUUAAUGGAUGAUCUUUGGUAUGGCUAUGAAUGGUUGUGAUUUGGUCGCUCGUGAGCGAAUUGGCCAGGUUUAUUUUCAUUGUUGUUCAUUAGUUCAGUGAUUGAUUUCAUAUUUGUUCGCGAAGUUUAGUUUCUUUUUUUCUAUACGAAGUUAGUAGGAUUAAUUUUGGUUGAAUGAUUCUAACUUAGGGUUCAGUUUUUGCAGAACUUAUGGAACUAAAUAUGCAAACAUUUUGAGCGAGUAGGUGGCUAUCUGUCUGUUGGUAGAGAUGCUUGAUAGAGCUUGCAGAGUACAGCAGCAACAGAAGAUUAUUAGUCAGUGAAGAUUGACACACAAACUCUUUUGGUAACAACUUCUCUGCAAUGUGUUGUGUAAGUUAUAUAAUGAUGUUGAGAAACAUCAAAGCAAUUAUGUAUGGCUACAAAUUUGCAAUGUGGAUGUUGAUUAUAGCUAUUAAAAUAAUUUAUUAUGGGUUUCUAUCUUGCCUGCAGAGUCAUUAAUGCUCUCUUGCAUUGUUAUCUGGUUAUGGUUAAAAGCUAUUUAAAUGAAACAUGGGUAACCAUACUAUUUACCUAACUAGCGAGCUAAAAAAUGAAGUAUAGAACAACAACAACCUUAACACCAACCAACCUGUAUAAUACCUAGCAUGUUUGUUUACGAGCAAUUAUUGCUCUGCUAGUAACUUAUAACUCGUGUUCGGUUAUCUAAAAUCCCUUAUUCAAUAACCUUUAUACUGCUAUUAACUUAUAAUUAACUCGUUUAAGUGUAGUUUAUAUAAUGAAUUUGAUGGAUGCGGCAAAUAGAGCUAAAUGACAAAGUUUAUACAGCUACUCUAAAGGAGAAAGCAAAGGAGCCGUAAGAAGUAAAAACAUUUCUGAAAUUCUGGUAAUAUGUUCAAUUACUCACUUAUUGGCUCUUGAUUCAUACAUCUCACUAGCUACUACCUUUGUAUUAGCGAAAUCAAGCCCCACUAAUGUCUCGCUAUCACUAUAUGACUUGAGUCCUUUGGUGGUGGCUCUAAGAUUUUUUAUGCUUCCAGAUUUUUUUUUUCAUAAUAUUGCUAGAAUCUCAUCUUAGUCUAAUUAUUUCACAUACCCUCUAGUGUUUAAAUCGCUAAUUAAUAUUAUUGUUGUUUCAAAAUGUUAACAGAAUAUAUUCCCCUAAAAAAAAUGUUGACGCAAUAUAUGGAUUUAAGAACCAUAUGCUUGAAUUGCAUGAUUGGUGUUGCUAUUACUAACAUAAUAUUGUUGGUCUUAUUUGAGUGGACUCAUAUUUAUUGGUGCAUAUUAGCGUUUUAUCCUCUAAAUUCACUUGAUGAUGCUUCCACACAAAUGGUGAAGGGAACCUCAAAAACCAUACAGGUCAUUUAUUGGUCUCAAGAUGGCAGGACAGAGUCUUCCCUUACUUUUAGCAGUUGUAUAAAUUUAAUAUUUGUUACUACUUGUAGAUUCAAAUUUCCAAUAUGCUGUUUGUCCAUAAAAAAAGAUCAUCUAUAGUUUUCUCGUGGCUUUUAAGAAUGUUUAUGCGAUUAAAACGUAUUUUCCCUUGUUAAGUCUAGUUCAUAAAGGAAGAACUAUCUGGCUAAGCAAGCCACUUAUUGAUGAGGCAGAAGACUGCUAGGUUGGUAUAGGUGCAAUACUCUAGUUUCUACAAAAGAAAAUAAAAGUUAGGAAUGGAUUUUAUUAUGUCAAUGGUGUUUUUUAUCUGAAUUUGUUAGGGAACUUGACGUCGGCUGCUAGCUAUUACUGUUAUCAUUUCUUGAAGUGCAUGUUCUAAUAGCUUCAAACUCUAAUCACUAGUGACGCUAAACGAAUGAAACUGGUGAUACUUUCUUUUCUUCAAGGAUGAAAGUUUUCAAUUUUUCGAAAGUUGGAGAUUGUCAUAAUUUUAAAAUGGAUUACCUUUUUAAGUUCUACAGUACGAAGAAAUAUGGAUAAGAUAUAGAACCCUCACGUGUUUCUAGAUGUAUCAACUGGUGGGGAUCCUGUCCAAAGAAUCGUAAUAAAGGUAAUUGAGAUUUAACUCAUUCUUGUAUCUCCAUUGAUCCUUUCUAGUGGUAUAAGCAUUCUGAUUUUGCAUAUACAUAUAUCCUUAGUAUCUGACGAAGUUGGAGUUGAUCAUAAUUUUGAGAUGGACUACCUUUUUAGGUUCUACACUAUGAAGAAAUAUGGAUAAGGUAUAGAACCCUCAUGUGUUUUUAGAUGUAUCAACUUGUGGGGAUCCUGUCCAAAGAAUCGUAAUAGAAGUAAUGGUAUUAGACUCAUUCUUUUUUAAUUUCAUUGAUCCUUUCUAGUGAUAUAGGCAUUCUCAUUUUGCACAUACAUAUAUCCUUAGUAAGUUGUUUUGUUGAUAUGCUUGCCUGCAACUUUUGCCUGAUUUGGUUACUAAAUCUGUAGAAAACUUCUGGGUUCUCUGCACAGGUAACUCCUCUUCUUUUUCUCAAUGAAACCCUUGCGUCUUUCCUUUUCUUGAUUUUCUGCGUGUUCGCGUGAUUGCAACUCGUUCUGGCCAAGCAAUGAAAUUUCCCUUGUUCAAUUUUAAGAGUAUAAAAAUAGAAUCAAGAACCAUGACUCAGCCUUCUUUGUGGGUUUUUGCACUCCAUAUAUAUUUCACUGAAUGAAGAUAUCUGUUUGCUGUUUGUAUGUCUCAGGUGAGAAAGGUGUUGGAGGUACUAUGACGAAACGUUUACACUUUAAGGGAACGAAUUUCCACCUCAUAAUUAAAGGAUUUAUGGCCCAAAUUGAAAUGGGUCAGAAUCAGCAAUCUUCUUCACAGCAACAAGACCAGUUACAACAGCAAUAACUAUAACAGGACUUGGAGAACGGAGGACUCUCAGAUGGGCCAGAUGAUGUUGUUGCCGUUUUUCACACUUACUUUUGCAGUUUUAGGAACAACCGGAGCAUUUGAAGAAAUAAACAAAUACUCGUAUGACGUCUGCUACGGGUAGCAUUUGCGGGCUUUUUAACCGGAGCAUUUGAGUAUUUUCCCACUAGUGUGAGGUGUUGCAGUUUCUUGUGGAGAGAAGAAAUAUCCGGAUACAAGGAAAUUGAUCCAACUGUACAUUUUUUGAUGGUAAAAGCUAAGUUUGAAUUGUAUCUUAAUGAUAUUAUAUAGGCACUAAAUUUUGGUUUAAUAUGUUUUUUUUGCUUAUAGCAACCUGAUUUGGGUUCUAGUAUCAAUGAUGCACUAAAGCAAGGGGACCAAAUCUCUAAUUUUCGUAAAGAUAAGGAGAAAUAUUUAUCUUGCCAAGUUGGAGUUAAAGGCAGCAGUGCAUGAGACUAUUGAAACUGACGUAAUUCCUGUACUUGAGGAAGUGCCGAAAAAAAAGGAUAGAGAUGUGAAGUGAUGCCAGAGACAGGAGGCUUUUCUCAAUGGUUCUCACACCUAUGCAGCUGCAGUCACUCGUUCUUGUCGCACACGCAGACUUGCGAAAUAGACAUUUGGUAUGCUGUGAACAUGCUUCACUACUAGAACUGUCACUUGCUGUAAAUAAGAUAUUCACGAGUAAAUUGCGCAAAGUUUGCCUCUUCUCAUUAAAUGUUUAUAAAUUUUAUCACCUGUACUU